rnacentral:misc_RNA from 1 species
GAUGAAGAACGCAGCGAAAUGCGAUAAGUAAUGCGAAUUGCAGAAUUCAGUGAGUCAUCGAAUCUUUGAACGCACAUUGCGCCCUGUGGUAUUCCGCAGGGCAUGCCUGUUCGAGCGUCAUUUCAACCCUCAAGCUCUGCUUGGUGUUGGGCCCUGCCUGCUGCGGCCGGCCCUAAAGACAGUGGCGGUGCCGCCUGGCCCUGAGCGUAGUACAUCUCUCGCUCCAGUGCCCGGUGGUAGCCUGCCAGAACCCCAACUCUCGUGGUUGACCUCGGAUCAGGUAGGGAUACCCGCUGAACUUAAGCAUAUCAAUAAGCGGAGGA